rnacentral:pre_miRNA from 1 species
UAUUUCACUGAGGAUUCUGUGCAUAUUUGACUGCACAGAUCUUUUUUGAUAAGC